rnacentral:rRNA from 1 species
AUUGAACGCUGGCGGCAGGCCUAACACAUGCAAGUCGAGCGAGCGGCGGACGGGUGAGUAAUGUAUGGGGACCUGCCUGAUGGCGGGGGAUAACUCCUGGAACCGUUAGCAAAUCCCGCUAACCCUCCGAUGUACCCUUAGGGGAUUAGCUAGUAGGUAAGGUAACGGCUUACCUAGGCGACGAUCCCUAGCUGGUCUGCGAGGAGGCUCAGCCACACUGGGACUGAGACACGGCCCAGACUCCUACGGGAGGCAGCAGUGGGGAAUAUUGGACAAUGGGCGCAAGCCUGAUGCAGCCAUGCCGCGUGUAUGAAGAAGGCCUUCGGGUUGUAAAGUACUGUCAGUAGGGAGGCGUUACCGACAGAAGAAGCACCGGCUAACUCCGUGCCAGCAGCCGCGGUAAUAC